AUUGAACGCUGGCGGCAUGCCUAACACAUGCAAGUCGAACGGCAGCACGGGAGCUUGCUCCUGGUGGCGAGUGGCGGACGGGUGAGUAAUGCAUAGGAAUCUGCCCAGUAGCGGGGGACAACUUGGGGAAACUCAAGCUAAUACCGCAUGCGCCCUACGGGGGAAAGCGGGGGACCUUCGGGCCUCGCACUAUUGGAUGAGCCUAUGUCAGAUUAGCUUGUUGGUGGGGUAACGGCCUACCAAGGCGACGAUCUGUAGCUGGUCUGAGAGGACGAUCAGCCACACUGGGACUGAGACACGGCCCAGACUCCUACGGGAGGCAGCAGUGGGGAAUAUUGCACAAUGGGCGAAAGCCUGAUGCAGCAAUGCCGCGUGUGUGAAGAAGGCCUGCGGGUUGUAAAGCACUUUCAGUAGGGAGGAAACAGUAAGCCGGUUAAUAUCCGGUUGCCUUGACGUUACUACAGAAGAAGCACCGGCUAACU
rnacentral:rRNA from 1 species